rnacentral:rRNA from 1 species
AUUGAACGCUGGCGGCAGGCUUAACACAUGCAAGUCGAACGAGUGGCGGACGGGUGAGUAAUGUCUGGGAAAGUGCCCGAUGGAGGGGGAUAACUACUGGAAAGGGUAGCUAAUACCGCAUACCAUCGGAUGUGCCCAUAUGGGAUUAGCUAGUUGGUGGGGUAACGGCUCACCUAGGCGACGAUCCGUAGCUGGUCUGAGAGGAUGACCAGCCACCCUGGGACUGAUACACGGCCCAGACUCCUACGGGAGGCAGCAGUGGGGAAUAUUGCACAAUGGGCGCAACCCUGAUGCAGCCAUCCCGCGUGUAUGAAGAAGGCCUUCGGGUUGUAAAGUACUUUUAGCAGGGAAGCGUUACCUGCAGAAGAAGCCACGGCUAACUACGUGCCAGCAGCCGCGGUAAUUC